rnacentral:siRNA from 1 species
UUGCAGAGCCUAUCGAAUUCA